rnacentral:lncRNA from 1 species
UGCCAUCCCAACGGAAACUGGUCGGCCCUAGGCCAGGCCGCGUCGCGCGCCGCCGGGCUGGGUGGGGUCCGCCCCCGCUCUAGGGGGGGCUAGCUUGGUUACCUCUCCCCGCCCAGCUUUUUUUCCCUGCCCCGCGCCUUGCGGGCCUGCUUUGGGCGCCGACGAUAUCCCGAGCUCUAGCUAGUAAUAGCGCACACCUUCCGGCCUCGGGACUGUUGUGGCCGAAGGUUCAAGGGACAGUCGCCCCCAAUCACGUUGAACUGUUUUUUUUUUUUUUUUAACGGUAAUAGCUAGUAUUUGUAAAGUGCUUCAAGGCCUUCUCAUUUGAUCCUCCUACGACGGGAAAUGCUAAUUUCCCCUUGAGGCGGGGGUUGGGGGUGUUGUCCCCGCUACGCUUCUGACGGCGGUGGGCGUUUUUGGAGCGGAGUCCUCCUGAGAGCCCCAGUACUGCCCUGACCUGCCAGGACCUUCGCUCGGUGGGACGGCCGCGUCCUAGAGUGAAAUCGGCCGUCCCCGGAGCGGGGAAGUGUGGGGCUUUAACGGCGCGGAAAAGGACCGCCAUGCAGUUUUGCCUUAUCUGAGAAGAGCGCUAAGUGUGGUUAAUGAGCGGCAGAUACUUGUUGCCAACUUGAAAAGUGAAAGAUAACGCCCUUAAAAAAAAAAAAAAAAAAAAAAAGGCGAGCACCUAUAUGUUUAUGAGGUACGAAGAAUUAGACACGGGCCUGCAAAGAGCGCUUUGCAAAUGGUGAAAUGCGAUUUCUGUGAAAUCCGUGGGCCAGGAGACCCUAAGUUCGGCCAGCCGUAGUCUGGCAUGAUAUGAGGGAGGUGCAAGGCCCCAGAUCAGAGAAGAUGGGAGCUGAUCUGAAGUGAAACGUUAGAAACUGAGGAGGAGGGGGGACGUUCCAGGUUAAGAAACCACAGAUGUUUUGCUUGGGGGAAUGAUUCAUGCCUUGAAGAAAUUAUUUCAACAGUUUCAAAGAGUAUGGAUUGGAGAAAGUUCAAACUUGAGGCCAGGAGACCAAUUCGGAAGCUGUGGCAAUAGGGGUCCAGAGGUCAGAGUCACUCCAAGGGUAGUGGCUGUGAAUAGAAAGAUGUGGAUGAAUACAAAAGACAGCAGAAUCAGCAAAACUUGGGCCUGGAUUGGAUGGAGAAGGGAGGAAGAAGUAAAAGGUUAAUGGAAAGAUGGCUAUCCCUCAGUGGACAUGGGUAGCAUGUUGAGUUUGGGACGCCUUUGAGACAUCAAAGUGCAGGUGUCCAGCAUGUUGUCUGAGAUUCAGUGAAGAUUGCAGAUCCAGAAAUCUUUCCAGCUUGGUAGAGCCUACCAGCACUUCUGUUGAACCUGUAUAGACACCUCACCACAGCUCCAGGAUCUUGCAGAGCCUCCUGGAAGAAAAUUCCAAGAAGUUGGCUUAUCUACUCACCCAGGAAAUAUCAAAUGGAUGAAGAAUGUCUUUUGCCCAGACUUCAAUAUGCAUUUGGAUGGAUACCCUGUGGACCAUAUCCAACAAUAUAUUUAUCUGGGACAAAUGCUAGGGAUAGGGAGUAAGCUUAGUCAUAAGGUAAAAAGGGAGAAGAGUGAACUGGAUUGAGAAAUUGCAAGGCUAUUUUUCUGACCCCCAACUUUCCUUUGAACGCAAAGACCAAUCGUUUCAAUACUAACAUUUGGCCAGUGUUGUUGUAUAGUAGUGAUUCUUGGAACACUAUUAUCUCUACCAAGUGAAAAAUGAGCACCGUUUUUCCAAGGCUUUGGAGAGGCAGAUAGUGGGUGUGAGCAUACUAUCCAUUUAAUAAUAAGAAACUCCAUCCAAAGAGGAACAGAAAUAAAAUCAAGGAAUUGUCUGUCCAAAAGAGAUGGGUUAGUCAUGCAAAGAAGUGGACAACUAGAGGGUCACACUGGUACCAUCGUGAUUUUGAGAGAAAAUGAGGGAAGCCUCUGUAUAGCAAGUUUUUUGGAGAACAUUGGAUCUCAUCAAGAGACAUGGAUGGGGUGAAUUCUGUAUCAUCAAACUUCCAAAAUGAUGAGACCACAGAUACAUUUGAGUAAUAUUAAUUCAUUCAACAAGCAUUUAUUAAGUGUUCAGUUUAUGCCAGGCACUUCUUAUGCAACUUCUUGUGGAAAUUCACAUAUACAGUAGGGAGAAAUUACUUGUAGUUGGGAGGAUAAAGGAAAGUUUUCAUAGAUUCAUAGAAUUUCAGACCUGGAAAAAAAUUUCAAAUUCUUUUAAUUCAUAGGUGUCUUUUCAGAACUUCCAGUGCCUUUGUAUAUAAUAGGUGCUCAAUAUAUGUUUAUUGUUAAAUGGAUGGAGG